CCUACGGGAGGCAGCAGUAGGGAAUCUUCCACAAUGGACGAAAGUCUGAUGGAGCAACGCCGCGUGAGUGAAGAAGGGUUUCGGCUCGUAAAGCUCUGUUGGUAGUGAAGAAAGAUAGAGGUAGUAACUGGCCUUUAUUUGACGGUAAUUACUUAGAAAGUCACGGCUAACUACGUGCCAGCAGCCGCGGUAAUACGUAGGUGGCAAGCGUUGUCCGGAUUUAUUGGGCGUAAAGCGAGUGCAGGCGGUUCCAUAAGUCUGAUGUGAAAGCCUUCGGCUCAACCGGAGAAUUGCAUCAGAAACUGGUGGACUUGAGUGCAGAAGAGGAGAGUGGAACUCCAGGUGUAGCGGUGGAAUGCGUAGAUAUAUGGAGGAACACCAGUGGCGAAGGCGGCUCUCUGGUCUGUAACUGACGCUGAGGCUCGAAAGCAUGGGUAGCGAACAGGAUUAGAUACCCCAGUAGUC
rnacentral:rRNA from 1 species